UAGGGAAUCUUCCGCAAUGGACGCAAGUCUGACGGAGCAACGCCGCGUGAGUGAAGAAGGAUUUCGGUUCGUAAAACUCUGUUGUUAGAGAAGAACAGCGCAUAGAGUAACUGUUAUGCGUGUGACGGUAUCUAACCAGAAAGCCACGGCUAACUACGUGCCAGCAGCCGCGGUAAUACGUAGGUGGCAAGCGUUGUCCGGAUUUAUUGGGCGUAAAGCGAGCGCAGGCGGUCAAUUAAGUCUGAUGUGAAAGCCCCCGGCUCAACCGGGGAGGGUCAUUGGAAACUGGUUGACUUGAGUGCAGAAGAGGAGAGUGGAAUUCCAUGUGUAGCGGUGAAAUGCGUAGAUAUAUGGGGGAACACCAGUGGCGAAUGCGACUCUCUGGUCUGUAACUGACGCUGAGGCUCGAAAGCGUGGGUAGCAAACAGG
rnacentral:rRNA from 1 species